rnacentral:lncRNA from 1 species
AUGAGAGAAAAUUUCUCUUGGAAAGCAUUCUCUCCUCUUCUUCCUCUUGCCCUCUAUCCCUCUUUUCCCCUCUCCUUUCCAUCCUUCCUUCCUUCCUUCCCUCCUUUUCUCUAUCCCUCUUUUCCCCUCUCCUUUCCAUCCUUCCUUCCUUCCUUCCCUCCUUUUCUCUCUCUCCCUCUCUUUUCCCCUCUCCUUUCCAUCCUUCCUUCCUUCCCUCCUUUUCUCUCUCUCCCUCUCUCCCUCUCUCUCCUUUCCCCUUCCACUUUAGAUGGAAGGGAAGGAAGGGAGGAAAGGGAGGAAGGGGAGGGAGGGGAGGGAGGGGAGGAAGGAAGGAAACAUAGUUACCCUAUGAAGGAAGUAAUUUUAAGAAGUAUGAGACAUUACACCAGAGAGAAAAGCUGUCUAUAGACUCUAGAAAGCACCAGCUCUCAGAGUCUAGAAGAGAGUUACACUUAAGGGGCACUUUAUUAGCAGUCUAUGAAAGAAAAAAAGGACUUUUAGCCUUGGAGAAAUGUUAGUUACUCAUGUCAUUUCUAGUCCCAUAACUGCAGCCAACAAAAAUCUGUAGUUUCUAUUACUGCUGUCAACAUUUGCUUUUGGAGUCACUGUGUCUCAUUCAUCACUUACAUUAUGGCUCUUUCAAAAUGGAAUAUCUAAAGCCGACUUUUACUGAGUUAUGGCAGAGUUGUAGUUUGAGAUUAUUUCCUUUUGUUCGUGAUCCAUAACUUCAAUUUCCAUACAAAGUUACUCAAUGAACACUUAAAUUCAUCCUGAGAACAAUUUAUCAUUAGAUUUUUUAAAGAAUCAUAAAGGGGGGGGGCGCUGUGUAGGUCAGUGUAUUGAGAGCCAAGCCUAGAGAUCGGAAGUCCUAGGUUCAAAUCUGGCUUCAGCCACUUCCCAGCUGUGUGAACCUGGACAAGUCACUUGACCCCCAUUGCCUAGCCCUUACCACUCUUCUGCCUUGGAGCCA